rnacentral:lncRNA from 1 species
UCAACUUCUUCUUCCUGCUUAUUUUCUGCAUGAACAGUAACUCCACCAUCUUAAGUGGCUUUUUCGGUGCCGUCUGACCUCGAUUGCUAGUACAACCUUCAUGAAAGUUGCUCUUCUCUUCCUUCCCUACCUAGCCCAAUGGUUAAUCGGCGCCAACUACCAAGAAUUUCUCUGAUUUUAGGAAAUAUAGCUCCAGCAACUCUUGGUUGUUUUUGGGGGACUUUGGCUACCAUUUCCAUCUAGUAAGGUAUGGUUUUUCGUCCCAUCCACGUGCUCUUUUUGUUGGUAUAGGUGGUUUAGUUUAAUUUUGUAGUUUGAGAGUUCGAAUUAAAAUCCCAAAAUUGGCGGUGAUUUUUCUAUUUCCAACCACAUUUUUUACCAGGGUCCAAGAGCUAAAAAUACUCCCUUAGAUGUGCUUAAUCCAUUGACAUAGAUAUCGCAAGUGUUUUGGGGAUUUUUUGUUACUAGAAAAUUAUUCAAGAUACCAAUACGCUCGCUGCCAGCGGCGCGUGACCGAGGUGUAUGUGACCCAUUUUUUGUCAAAAAAUGACCCACAUGUUGUCCCGAGCACAACGGUAUGCUCGAAUGCACGAGAUUCCACUAUUUGAUCGGCGAACCGAAAUUUCACCUAUUAUGUGAUUUUUUCGAUUAUUAUGAUCGGACCGUCGGAUGGGUCUCAUUUUAGAAUGUCGUUCCUUGGACUCUAUGGUCGUAUAAGAACUUAUGAAUCGGGAAUCAGAGGCCCGGAUCUCAGAAUGUACAAAAUUGUUAUGGUUACCCUAUUAUGUGUUAAUAAGGUUUGAUAGGUUUGGACUAUUAGAUCGAUUCCAAAUUCAAUUUUGUUGUUUCCAACGACACUAGGGACGUUAUCCUAGGUAUUUGUACACACUUUGAAUUCCGAGAAGUUAAGUUUCAAUUUAAGUUUCAUUCGCUUCAAAUGUUAAUAUUAAUCUUAUAUUCUCUCAGUAAGUACUCAGUCUCCUUAUACUAAAUCUAAUUCCUCCAAUGGAAGGCUCUGAUCUGCUAAAAGCACAACUUCAUAAAUACUGUGAAGUAACCAAUGUGGACAUGGUAAAGAUGGAAACAUAAUCAGAGUUUGGUGAUCAUACAAAUUCGACCAUGAAGGAACUAGGCAGCAAAAUUCUCAAAAGCUUAAGAUAUUUUGGUUUACUAGACUAGUGGCUGCUUGUCAAAGAUACUUGUUGGCUUAUGAAGAAAAUGAAAGCUCCUAUGAAAUCUUCAGCACAUUUCUUACCCUAGAUGCAGAAUUUCUUGAAUUAAGGGGGUGUAUACAACCCUCAGUUGGUUUGAUCAACUCGGAAAAAAGUCAACAUAGGGUUGUGGUGGAGGUUGAAGUUGAGAGGCAUCAUUUUUUGCUCGGGAAAGGAGCACUUCCUCUUGUUCAUGCAUGAUUCUUCAGUUCUAAGUUAACUAGUAUUGUAAUCUCCUUCUUAAUUAGUGUCUAACUAGUUAUCAGCUCUAGACUUAAAUAAGCGCCUACCAUGCGCUAGUGUUAUACUUGUAGUAGAUAUCUAAUUGUUAUUGACAAACCAUGGUUUCUUAUUGUUAUACAUGUGCUAGCUAGCGUAACUUAUAUAUAGUAUUCUUACAA